GACGAACGCUGGCGGCGUGCUUAACACAUGCAAGUCGAACGGAAAGGCCCUGCUUUUGUGGGGUGCUCGAGUGGUGAACGGGUGAGUAACACGUGAGUAGCCUGCCCUUGACUUUGGGAUAACUUCAGGAAACUGGGGCUAAUACCGGAUAGGAGCUCCUGCUGCAUGGUGGGGGUUGGAAAGUUUCGGCGGUUGGGGAUGGACUCGCGGCUUAUCAGCUUGUUGGUGGGGUAGUGGCUUACCAAGGCUUUGACGGGUAGCCGGCCUGAGAGGGUGACCGGCCACAUUGGGACUGAGAUACGGCCCAGACUCCUACGGGAGGCAGCAGUGGGGAAUAUUGCACAAUGGGCGGAAGCCUGAUGCAGCAACGCCGCGUGCGGGAUGAUGGCCUUCGGGUUGUAAACCGCUUUCGCCUGUGACGAAGCGUGAGUGACGGUAAUGGGUAAAGAAGCACCGGCUAACUACGUG
rnacentral:rRNA from 1 species